rnacentral:rRNA from 1 species
CACGUAGGGUGCGAGCGUUGUCCGGAAUUAUUGGGCGUAAAGAGCUCGUAGGCGGUGUGUCGCGUCGGCCGUGAAAACCUGCAGCUUAACUGUGGGCUUGCGGUCGAUACGGGCAUCACUGGAGUUCGGCAGGGGAGACUGGAAUUCCUGGUGUAGCGGUGAAAUGCGCAGAUAUCAAGAGGAACACCUGCGGCGAAGGCGGGUUGCUGGGCCGACACUGACGCUGAAGCGCGAAAGCCAGGGGAGCGAACGGG